rfam:Echinococcus multilocularis genomic scaffold, pathogen_EmW_scaffold_05
GCCUUCGUGGCACAACCGGUUAGCGCGUUCGGCUGUUGAUCGAAAGGUUGGUGGAUCGAGUUCACCCGAGGGCU